CCAAUAGCGUAUAUUAAAGUUGUUGCAGUUAAAAAGCUCGUAGUUGAAUUUCGGGGUUAGUAGGUCGGUCAUGCCACUGGUAUGUACUGGUCUCACUGAUUCCUCCUUCCUGAUGAACCGUAAUGCCAUUAAUUUGGUGUUGCGGGGAGACUGGACUGUUACUUUGAAAAAAUUAGAGUGUUUAAAGCAGGCUAACGCUUGAAUACAUUAGCAUGGAAUAAUGAAAUAGGACGUUCGAUCCUAUUUUGUUGGUUUCUAGGAUUGACGUAAUGAUUAAUAGGGAUAGUUGGGGGCAUUAGUAUUCAAUUGUCAGAGGUGAAAUUCUUGGAUUUAUUGAAGACUAACUACUGCGAAAGCAUUUGCCAAGGAUGUUUUCAUUAAUCAAGAACGAAAGUUAGGGGAUCGAAGACGAUCAGAUACCGUCGUAGUCUUAACCAUAAACUAUGCCGACUAGGGAUCGGAUGAUGUUAAUUUUUUAAUGACUCAUUCGGCGCCUUACG
rnacentral:rRNA from 1 species